GAUGAACGCUGGCGGCGUGCCUAAUACAUGCAAGUCGAGCGAACAGACGAGGAGUUUGCUCCUCUGACGUUAGCGGCGGACGGGUGAGUAACACGUGGAUAACCUACCUAUAAGACUGGGAUAACUUCGGGAAACCGGAGCUAAUACCGGAUAAUAUAUUGAACCGCAUGGUUCAAUAGUGAAAGACGGUUUUGCUGUCACUUAUAGAUGGAUCCGCGCCGCAUUAGCUAGUUGGUAAGGUAACGGCUUACCAAGGCGACGAUGCGUAGCCGACCUGAGAGGGUGAUCGGCCACACUGGAACUGAGACACGGUCCAGACUCCUACGGGAGGCAGCAGUAGGGAAUCUUCCGCAAUGGGCGAAAGCCUGACGGAGCAACGCCGCGUGAGUGAUGAAGGUCUUCGGAUCGUAAAACUCUGUUAUUAGGGAAGAACAAAUGUGUAAGUAACUAUGCACGUCUUGACGGUACCUAAUCAGAAAGCCACGGCUAACUACGUG
rnacentral:rRNA from 1 species